ensembl:misc_RNA Metazoa_SRP Metazoan signal recognition particle RNA
GUUGGAAGAGACCUUUAAGACAGCUGGUCAUUAUGCCGACCAGGUGUCCGCGCUAAGUUCAGUAUCAAUAUGGUGACCUCUUGGGAGCAGGGGGCCAUCAGGUUGCCUAAGGAUGGGAGAACUGGCCCAGGUCAGAAAGGGAGCAGGUCAGAACUCCCGCACUGAUGGCUAGUGGGACUGUGCCUGGGCCACAUAGUGAGACCUU